GAUGAACGCUGGCGGCGUGCCUAAUACAUGCCAGUCGAGCGAACAGAUGAGGAGCUUGCUCCUCUGACGUUGGCGGCGGGCGGGUGAGUCACACGUGGAUAACCUACCUAUCAGUCUGGGAUAACUUCGGGACACCGGAGCUAAUACCGGAUAAUAUAUUGAACCGCAUGGUUCACUAGUGAAAGACGGUUUUGCUGUCACUUCUCGAUGGAUCUGCGCCGCAUUAGCUAGUUGGUAAGGUAACGGCUUACCAAGGCAACGAUGCGUAGCCGACCUGAGAGGGUGAUCGGCCACACUGGAACUGAGACACGGUCCAGACUCCUACGGGAGGCAGCAGUAGGGAAUCUUCCGCAAUGGGCGAAAGCCUGACGGAGCAACGCCGCGUGAGUGAUGAAGGUCUUCGGAUCGUAAAACUCUGUUAUUAGGGAAGAACAAAUGUGUAAGUAACUAUGCACGUCUUGACGGUACCUAAUCAGAAAGCCACGGCUAACUACGUG
rnacentral:rRNA from 1 species